rnacentral:rRNA from 1 species
UGAGGAAUAUUGCACAAUGGGCGAAAGCCUGAUGCAGCAACGCCGCGUGAGCGAUGAAGGCCUUCGGGUCGUAAAGCUCUGUCCUCAAGGAAGAUAAUGACGGUACUUGAGGAGGAAGCCCCGGCUAACCACGUGCCAGCAGCCGCGGUAAUACGUAGGGGGCUAGCGUUAUCCGGAAUUACUGGGCGUAAAGGGUGCGUAGGUGGUUUCUUAAGUCAGAGGUGAAAGGCUAUGGCUCAACCGUAGUAAGCCUUUGAAACUGGGAAACUUGAGUGCAGGAGAGGAGAGUUGAAUUCCUAGUGUAGCGGUGAAAUGCGUAGAUAUUAGGAGGAACACCAGUUGCGAAGGCGGCUCUCUGGACUGUAACUGACCCUGAGGCACGAAAGCGUGGGGAGCAAACA